rnacentral:tRNA from 1 species
GUCCCUGUAGCGCAAUGGAUAGCGCGUUGUACUUCUAAUACAAAAAUCGUGGGUUCGAAUCCUACCUGGAAUG